rnacentral:rRNA from 1 species
UAGAGAGAGACAUGCGCGCAUAUCAAUAAGCGGAGGAAAAGAAACUAACAAGGAUUCCCCUAGUAACGGCGAGUGAAGCGGGAAGAGCUCAAAUUUGAAAUCUUAAAGGGUUUCCCUUUACGAAUUGUAGUUUAAAGAAGUGUUUUCUGUUGAGGUUUUGGUAAAAGUUCUUUGGAAUAGGACAUCAUAGAGGGUGAGAAUCCCGUAUUUGACCUUUACUUUCAACUUUGUGAUACACUUUCAAAGAGUCGGAUUGUUUGGGAAUGCAGUCCAAGAUGGGUGGUAAAUUUCAUCUAAAGCUAAAUAUUGGCGAGAGACCGAUAGCGAACAAGUACCGUGAGGGAAAGAUGAAAAGAACUUUGAAAAGAGAGUUAAACAGUACGUGAAAUUGUCAAAAGGGAAGCGUUUGACACCAGUGUUGUUUUUCUGAAAAUCAAUUAAAGAACUGUUUAUGCUAAGCUGUUUAGACUUUAUCAGCUAACUGUUUAGUUUUGAGCUUUUCUUUAAUGCACUUUUCAGUUAACAAGUCAACAUCAAUUUCUUUUGCUGUAAAAAAGCUUGAGGAAGGUGGCUUGAGAUUCGUCUUAAGUGUUUAUAGCCUCUUGCCUAUGCAGUCGGAGAGAUUGAGGUCUGCAGCGUAGAUCCUUCGGGGCUAAAUGCAUUUGUGCUAAGUUAUAGCAUUUUAUAGACAACUUGUUGACUAUGAUUUGUCUUGUAGCUUAUUCGCUUAUGUUAUUUUACCUACGCUUAGGAUGUUGAGCGCAUGUCUCUCUCU